rnacentral:rRNA from 1 species
GAUUAGCCUGCGUCCGAUUAGCUAGUUGGUAGGGUAAAGGCCUACCAAGGCGACGAUCGGUAGCUGGUCUGAGAGGAUGACCAGCCACACUGGAACUGAGACACGGUCCAGACUCCUACGGGAGGCAGCAGUGGGGAAUAUUGGACAAUGGGGGCAACCCUGAUCCAGCAAUGCCGCGUGUGUGAAGAAGGCCUGAGGGUUGUAAAGCACUUUCAGUGGGGAGGAGGAUUAUUAGGUUAAGAGCUAGAUAAUUGGACGUUACCCACAGAAGAAGCACCGGCUAACUCCGUGCCAGCAGCCGCGGUAAUACGGAGGGUGCAGGCGUUAAUCGGAAUUACUGGGCGUAAAGCGUGCGUAGGUGGUUUGGUAAGUUAUCUGUGAAAUCCCUGGGCUCAACCUGGGCAGGUCAGAUAAUACUGCUGAACUCGAGUAUGGGAGAGGGUAGUGGAAUUUCCGGUGUAGCGGUGAAAUGCGUAGAGAUCGGAAGGAACACCAGUGGCGAAGGCGGCUACCUGGCCUAAUACUGACACUGAGGCACGAAAGCGUGGGGAGCAAACAGGAUUAGAUACCCUGGUAGUCCACGCUGUAAACGAUGUCAACUAGCUGUUGG